ACUGUGGAAACGCGACGCACUCGCCAGGUGACGAAUCAAUCCUCCCAGGGUGAGCUUUCUUUUCACCAUAAUCCACGUCUCCGGCUCAGCUGGGGCUUGGGCCCGCGACUUGCCGCGUUGCUCGGAGCACGGGCCCAAGAUUGACAAAUGCAGCUCACCCUCCGUACUGUCCUUGUUGUGAGUUCUGCGCGCAAAAGCAAAAACCUGGGGUGC
rnacentral:rRNA from 1 species